AUACUUAGUGGCGGACGGGUGAGUAAUGCUUAGGAAUCUGCCUAGUAGUGGGGGAUAACUUGGGGAAACCCAAGCUAAUACCGCAUACGACCUACGGGUGAAAGGGGGCUUUUAGCUCUCGCUAUUAGAUGAGCCUAAGUCGGAUUAGCUGGUUGGUGGGGUAAAGGCCUACCAAGGCGACGAUCUGUAGCUGGUCUGAGAGGAUGAUCAGCCACACUGGGGCUGAGACACGGCCCAG
rnacentral:rRNA from 1 species